GACCAUCCUCCAAGGCUAAAUACUCGUAAUCGACCGAUAGUGAACAAGUACCGUGAGGGAAAGGCGAAAAGAACCCCGGGGAGGGGAGUGAAAUAGAUCCUGAAACCGCAUGCAUACAAAAAGUCGGAGCCUGGAAACGGGUGACGGCGUACCUUUUGUAUAAUGGGUCAGCGACUUACAUUCAGUGGCAAGGUUAACCGAAUAGGGUAGCCGAAGAGAAAUCGAGUCCGAAUAGGGCGUCUAGUCGCUGGGUGUAGACCCGAAACCAAGUGAUCUAUCCAUGGCCAGGAUGAAGGUGCGGUAACACGCACUGGAGGUCCGAACCGACUAAUGUUGCAAAAUUAGCGGAUGAGCUGUGGAUAGGGGUGAAAGGCUAAACAAACUUGGAAAUAGCUGGUUCUCUCCGAAAACUAUUUAGGUAGUGCCUCAAGUAUUACCAUCGGGGGUAGAGCACUGUUAUGGCUAGGGGGUCAUGGCGACUUACCAAACCAUUGCAAACUCCGAAUACCGAUGAGUACAGCUUGGGAGACAGUGCACCGGGUGCUAACGUCCGGAC
rnacentral:rRNA from 1 species